UGUCUUCUCUAAAAAGUGCAAGAUUGGGGGUUUAGGGUUUAUAAUUGGGGAAUGGGAACUCGGGAUUUUGAUUUGAAGAAACUCUUGAACGACAGGAGAUUCUGGUUCGCUUCUUUCCUCAUCGGCUGGGCUGCUGCUCUACAGGGGCAUAUGAUGUGGUUACAGAGGCAAGAUUCUUUCAAGCAGAAGUUUGGAACCCUAGACGAUCAAAAAAGUGAAGAUCAGCAGGUUUCAACUGAGGAUUGGUAGCCAAAUGGUUCUUCAAUUAUGCGUAACAUCGCUCGACCUUUUAGUAUAUUGCUCUGUGGGUCUUGAAUCCGUGGCUUAACAUUCUUACUUGAAUUUGAUUAAGUUAACAGAGAAGCUGGUAGCUGGCAAAACUCAUUCUUCUCCUCUUGAGGUUUUAGGUUGUAUCUGUUACCAUGAGAGCAAGCAAGGCAUAAAAUAAACCUUAGUCACAUGAGAUUAAAUGAUGGGAAAAUUGCAAAAACUGUCCUUGCACUUUGCCUCUGUUAGUUUUCCUACUCGAUAUUGUAAUUCUGAGCCUUGUUUAUUCCAAUUAAUGUCCGGGUGUUAGGC